GAGCUAUAGCGCCCUGCCUGUUCUGGGCUUCUUGCAGAGCCUCUUCAGCUGCAGAGAAGCAGCUCUCCUUUCUCCAAGUCCAGAGCCAACAGGACGAAUAAUGAAGCUGUUGGGAAGAUUUACUGAUAAUACAUGUAAAGGGUCUAGCACAUUUUAGGAGCUCAAGGUUGGUGCCUUCCCUUUUUCUUUACUCUGAACCGGAUAUGAGGCCUUGAGAAAGAAGAGAGGCGCUUGCAAAACGAGGUGAGGUCUCAGGCACAGUGGCUCACGCCUGUAAUCCCAGCACUUUAGGAGACCGAGGCGGGCGGAUCAUGAGGUCAGGAGUUCGAGACCAGCCUGGCCAACAUGGUGAAAGCCCGUCUCUACUAAAAAUACAAAAAUUAGACGGGCAUGGUGGUGGGCACCUGUAAUCCCGGCUACUUGGGAGGUUGAGGGAGGAGAAUCGCUUGAACCCAGGAGGUGGAGGUUGCAGUGAGCCGAGACUGCACCAUUGCACUCCAGCCUGGGCAAUAGAGCGAGACUCCGUCUCAAGCAAGCAAGCAAGCAAACAAACAAAAUAAAAAACGAGGUCAAGUUUCAAAAGAUGUCACCCCCAACCUGGCAAAACUUCUCCUCAAGCCCUGUCGUUCCACUCUUGUCCGCCAGGAGGAGAAAAGGUUCCCUCGAAGGACGUCUUUGCUUGCGCGUUCACGGAGCCUUGAGAACGAGUGGCCGAGGGGACCCCUGCGGCCCUGCGCGCCUAAGGGAGGACCUGACUCCUUUCAGAAUUAGCAUUUCUUCCCCUUCGUGGGUGCUCUUGAGUUCCAAAGAAAAGGAAGAGAAGCCUUCAUUGAGCAGCUUCUUCUGCCUUAGGGACUGUGCUAGGGGGUAGAUCGACCUUAGGGGAAACAAUCCCCGCUUAUUAGAGGAGGUUUUGGAUCAGGGUUUGCUUUAUUUGAAAUUUAACAAAUACAGAAAAGCAGAAGGAAGAAAAUUGAAGUAAUCCAUGUUUCCACUGGGCGCGGCGGCUCACGCCUAUAAUCCCAGCACUUUGGGAGGCCAAGGCGGGCGGAUCACGAGGUCAGGAGUUCGAGACCAGCCUGACCAACAUGGUGAAACCCCCCGUCUCUACUAAAAUUACAAAAUUAGCCGGUCGUGGUGGCACACGCCUGUAAUCCCAGCUACUCAGGAGGCUGAGGCAGGAGAAUCGCUUGAACCCGGGAGGCAGAGGUUGCAGUGAGCCGAGAUUGCACCACUGCACUCCAGCCUGAGCAACAGAGUGAGACUCCGUUGUCUUUAAAGGCCAAUCCCAUAGCAAAUGACAGAGACUCACUUGAGUAAGAAAGGUUUUUGACAAGAAAACCCACAGAAGAAGAGAUAAGCUGUGGAUAUAAGAAAGGCACUACAAUCUGUAUUUAAAUCUAAUUGCACACUAGAUAAUAUAUGUAUGAAAAAUUA